rnacentral:misc_RNA from 1 species
AAGUCGUAACAAGGUUUCCGUAGGUGAACCUGCGGAAGGAUCAUUAUUGAAUUUUGUGAAGGGUUGUAGCUGGUCUUUAUUGACAUGUGCACACCCUGAUCAUUCCAUUUCACCCCUGUGCACUUUCUGUAGGUCGGUUUGAGUGCAGCGUCUAGCUGGCGUUUGUGCAAAGCCGGUCCUAUGUAUUUUAAAAACAUGUCAGUAAUAGAAUGUAACUUGCUAUAAAUGCAUAUAAUACAACUUUCAGCAACGGAUCUCUUGGCUCUC